rnacentral:rRNA from 1 species
AUACGGAGGGUGCGAGCGUUAAUCGGAAUUACUGGGCGUAAAGCGUGCGUAGGCGGUUUGCUAAGUCAGAUGUGAAAGCCCCGGGCUUAACCUGGGAACUGCAUUUGAUACUGGCAGACUAGAGUAUGAUAGAGGGGGGUAGAAUUCCUGGUGUAGCGGUGAAAUGCGUAGAUAUCAGGAGGAAUACCAGUGGCGAAGGCGGCCCCCUGGAUCAAUUCUGACGCUGAGGUACGAAAGCGUGGGGAGCGAACAGGAUUAGAAACCCUAGUAGUCC